AACCUCCGCAAUGCGAGCAAUCGCGACGGGGGGACCCCAAGUGCCACUUUAACGGGGUGGCUUUUCUUAAGUGCUUUUGGAUAAGGGCUGGCAAGACCGGUGCCAGCCGCCGCGGUAACACCGGCAGCUCUAGUGGUAGCCAUUUUUAUUGGGCCUAAAGCGUUCGUAGCCGGUUUGAUAAGUCUCUGGUGAAAUCCUAUAGCUUAACUGUGGGAAUGCUGGAGAUACUAUCAGGCUUGAGGUCGGGAGAGGUUAGCGGUACUCCCAGGUAGGGUGAAAUCUUGUAAUCCUGUGGGGACCACCUGUGGCGAAGGCGUCUUACCAGAACGGGUUGACGGUAGGGGACGAAAGCGGGGGGCACGGAACC
rnacentral:rRNA from 1 species